rfam:Equus caballus chromosome 11, whole genome shotgun sequence.
GUCUAUGGCCAUAUCACCUUGAAUGUCCUCAAUCUUGUCUGAUCUUGUGGAGCUAAGCAGGGUUGGACCUGGUUAGUACUUGGGUGGGAGACAGAAACAACACUCUAUGUGUAUGUAUU